rnacentral:lncRNA from 1 species
ACAGGAAUUUGAAUGGGAUCUAGCAAUCGCCCAUGCAUACACACACUUUACCUACGGGGUAUUUAGAUGCAGUAUUACACUCACCAUCUUUGUAUAGGAAUUUCUGGCAUUGGACUUUACAAUCGCUAUCUUUGGUGCAAGAAUUAUUAGUGAAAUCCUUGGGACAUAACUUCUUUUCUAUAAUUUCCAUCUUUUUUACAGCCCCUGUCAAAUCUUCUUCCAUCAUUCUUUCUGUACUACCUAAUUCAUCCUCAUUGGAAUCAUAAAAAUAUUAGAUCCAGGAAAUUCGAGAACUAAAGAUUAAAAUAAGACAAGAAUCUAGGAUUACCUAAUGGAAACCAGAGGAACAACACAGCAACGGUAAAAAGGCAAAUGAACAUAAAUCCCUCAAUUCCUCCAACUUUGGCCAUCUCUUGUUUACAAUUCUAUUCAAAUGGAAGAACUGGAAGAAAGAAAG